CAUAAAUUACAGCAGUUUGAAUAAUGGCUGCAAUCUCUGAUAAGCAAGGUCUCUAGUGACAGCUAAUGACCUCCCUGAGGUCUCUACUGAAGGAGCCAACAGUGCCAUACUGUCUGAGCAAUUAGACAUUGCUUCUAAUACCUACAUUGCAAAUCCAGUUAUGCGAAAACAACAACAAAGACAACUUUGCUGACUGCCCACAGUCAUUGGUUCAAAACAUGGACCAGGGUUUACCGCCAGCAAGUGCUAGGAUUACACAUAUGAGCAAAGACAGCUCCUCCUCUCAAGGAACUAAUAAUCUAGGGGAGCACAUGGUAAAUUAGACUCAAAAUAAUCACAGCUCUUUUUUUUUUUUUAAUUCCUUUUAACACAACACAGGCCUAAUGACUUUGACUUUGCACACCAAUUACAGAUGUAAACCGGGACGGAAAUGUCAGACAAAAAAAAAAAAAAAAAUCCCAUUCUCUUAUUAAAUGUAUAUAAUGUACAGACAUAUCUGCUGUGCUUUAUAAAGAUAUUUAACAUCCCAACUUUGUUCCUUUAAAAACAAGUACCUGCAAACUGGGCCUUUGGGUCCAUUGUUAAGCCCUAGUAAAGAUUUCUGGUUACCCUA